UUAGUCUCAUUCUUGACUCUGGAACAAACCUGGAGCCAACCUGGAGUCAGCCUGGAAGCCAACCUGGAAGCCAAGGUUAUUAGAAUCUCUGUCUCUCUCCUCCAGGAUAAAAAGUAACACUGAGCCUAGGUUUAGAAAUGCUUUCAGAUUGGGGUUCAAAGCAGUGUGACAAGAAUACCACUUGUUAUCUUUCUCAUCCUCUCUGCUUUCAAAAGCCUCUGACCUGUUUUAUUCGUAUCCAUCAGAGACCCUCAUUUUCUUAGCUUCACCUUUGCGUUUACAGGUGGCCUGACCUACUUGCCCUCUGCACACAGGGGUGUUGAUUCUUGGAGGUGAAGGGAGCCAACUGGAUGCCUGGCCUCUGCCCUGGGAAUAGCCCCCACUCUCUCGAGAUCAAACUACCUAUAAGCCUUGGAGUUGCAGAAAGGAGACAUUCCUUGUGUAGCAGGAUGUGCCUGGGAUGGGGAAACUGAGGCCCAACAGAUGGCCGAGCCUGGGGUUAGUUACGUGAGGCACUGAGGAACUGCAAAGAGGAGACCUUUGCAGGAGACUGCGUCUGGAGCCAGUUAGCCCCGCCAAAAGCUUUCAGAAAUUACAAGGCCACAAAAAUGCUUUUUGGCUUGAAGCAUCCAAAUGGGCCCCACCCAUCUUGCUUAGAGUCGGGCCUCCUUCUUCUCACUACUGGACCCUGUGUUGCCAGCCUGGAGAACUCACUGCUCUUUGGGGACGUGGCUGACCUAAAAUAUCAAUUCUGCUCUCCCUACUUGGAGUGAACUAUGUGAAUUUUUCUCCUCUCUCAUCCUCCUCCUUCCCUCCAACCCUGGUUUCUCCCGGGCUUCAUCACGAGCCCCUUGAGGCACUACUUAGUCCCAACUGGGAAACUAAAUGGACAGAUUCAGUAGGUUAUUUUGCCUCUUGGGCUGAAACCAGAGAGUAAAUCAACUCCCCUAGGGAGAAUUUCUCAAAGUGCACUGUGGGGCCAGUGGCAAUAGGAUCAGUGGGAGCUACUGGUUAAAAAGCAGCUUUGUGGAACUUACCUUCCUCCCUUACCUCUCAGUUAAACACCAGGCAGGUGGCAUCAUCCCUAAAAGGCAGUGAAUGGGGUCUGGUGAGGACAGUGAUUUCCUCAGCGUUGUAAAAUGAGCCAGGGGUGGAGAGGAGGCCG
rnacentral:lncRNA from 12 species